AGANGCGGGAAUACAUUCAUGUAUGAACCAGAAGACCCGUAUGGAGCUUUAAUUAACCGACCCAAAGAGACCCAUUAAUUUCAACCGNCAGGAACAACNCACCUCUNUAUGGGCCGACAAUUUAGGUUGGGGUGACCUCGGANAACAGAACAACCUCCGAGUGAUUUAAAUCANGACUAACCAGUCGAAAGUAUUACAUCACUUAUUGANCCAAAAGUUUGAUCANCGGAACAAGUUACCCUAGGGAUAACAGCGCAAUCCUAUUUCAGAGUCCAUAUCGACAAUAGGGUUUACNACCUCGAUGUUGGAUCAGGACAAA
rnacentral:rRNA from 1 species